rnacentral:rRNA from 1 species
UACGUAGGCAGCGAGCGUUGUUCGGAGUUACUGGGCGUAAAGGGUGUGUAGGCGGUUGUUUAAGUUUGGUGUGAAAUCUCCCGGCUCAACUGGGAGGGUGCGCCGAAUACUGAAUGACUUGGAGUGCGGGAGAGGAGAGUGGAAUUCCUGGUGUAGCGGUGAAAUGCGUAGAUAUCAGGAGGAACACCGGUGGUGUAGACGGCUCUCUGGACCGUAACUGACGCUGAAUAGCGAAAGCCAGGGGAGCAAACGGG